GCUCCCAAGACUCCAGUUCUUCCCCAAAACUCCGGCUGGCCACUACCCUCCCGGAACUAAACACGCGCCCAGCCACCGCAGUCUCCACUCCACUCCUUCCGUCCGGUACUAUUAGCUUAUCUCCUUUCGUCCGGCUGGUUUCAAUGAAUUAUUCUCUCUUCCCAGCCAAACCAAAACCCUUGAAAUCUCUGUAUCAUCCCUCAGGUUUUACUCUUCUAAAUUUGCUGUGAGGAUUGUGAUUGCUUGGGUGGCUAGGAGGUGAUAUUGCUCUGGUGAUUUGCAACUAGGAGGUGAUAUUGCUCUGCUAAACUUGCUGUUCAGAGGAUUGAGGUGAUGAAGCUGAGAAAUCGGUGAAUUGAAGACUUUGGAGAAGAGAUAUGUAGGGUGGCAGAUUCCAUCGAAUAUGGACUGAGGUAUGAAUAGAGAGAAAAUGGACUUGUAGAGGCAAUUGCGUCCAAGAGUAGAAGAUGGAAAGUUGGGUGAAUGCUUUAAAGCAAAGCCUGAUUUUAUCAAGGUUGUCUUGGCAAAAUGCUCUAGAGCAUUUGGGCUUUGGAUGGUUGCCCAUGCCAUUGAGUUGUUGACCACUGGGAGUGAUCACGCAGAAAGUCUUCUACAUGAAGAACGCUAUAACUUGGGGGGAACUAGUAUAGCAGAACUACAUCGGCUCGUCUACGCUCAAUAAGUCCAGAUGAUGUAAUUGAAGUCCAUUCUUUAGUCUUCAUGAUUAAAUAUAAACUUCUAGCAUAUACAACUUUUUGUGGUUGCUGUUAGUAGAAACCCAUCAAUAUUUCUUUUCAAAUGCUAUCUUUUUCGUUUGAUCUAAACCUCUUUGUUUUCUUUGGUUAUUAGUUAAAUUCAUAGGGCACAUGCUAAAUAAGUUGAUAGAUAAAGUUUGUCAUGUUUGCAGAUUGCUCCAAUAUAUUUGUCCUCGUGUAUGAAGCAGGGAAUGAGUUUGUUAGAGAUUUUGUUGUCUAAGCUGCCUACUGAACAUAAUGAAACACUGCUUAAGAAUAUAGAGA